AUGAACGCUGGCGGCGUGCCUAAUACAUGCAAGUCGAGCGAACGGACGAGAAGCUUGCUUCUCUGAUGUUAGCGGCGGACGGGUGAGUAACCCGUGGAUAACCUACCUAUAAGACUGGGAUAACUUCGGGAAACCGGAGCUAAUACCGGAUGAUAUUUUGAACCGCAUGGUUCAAAAGUGAAAGACGGUCUUGCUGUCACUUAUAGAUGGAUCCGCGCUGCAUUAGCUAGUUGGUAAGGUAACGGCUUACCAAGGCAACGAUGCAUAGCCGACCUGAGAGGGUGAUCGGCCACACUGGAACUGAGACACGGUCCAGACUCCUACGGGAGGCAGCAGUAGGGAAUCUUCCACAAUGGGCGAAAGCCUGACGGAGCAACGCCGCGUGAGUGAUGAAGGUCUUCGGAUCGUAAAACUCUGUUAUUAGGGAAGAACAUAUGUGUAAGUAACUGUGCACAUCUUGACGGUACCUAAUCAGAAAGCCACGGCUAACUACGUG
rnacentral:rRNA from 1 species